UAAUACAUGCUAAAAACCUCGACUUCGGAAGGGGUGUAUUUAUUAGAUAAAAAACCAAUGCCCUUCGGGGCUCCGUGGUGAUUCAUAAUAACUUAACGAAUCGCAUGGCCUUGCGCCGGCGAUGGUUCAUUCAAAUUUCUGCCCUAUCAACUUUCGAUGGUAGGAUAGUGGCCUACCAUGGUUUCUACGGGUAACGGGGAAUUAGGGUUCUAUUCCGGAGAGGGAGCCUGAGAAACGGCUACCACAUCCAAGGAAGGCAGCAGGCGCGCAAAUUACCCAAUCCCGACACGGGGAGGUAGUAAGUCAACCCCCAAAUCCCUCCGCAUUUUUUAGGAUAAUUACUAACGGCAGGUCAGGUGACAAUAAAUACUGAUGGAGAGUUCUUUUGGAUUUUCUAGUCGGAAUGAGUACAAUUUAAAUCCCUUGAUCGUUAGGGGAUGGAACCAGUCGUGCGCAACGGCGACACCCUUCUCGUGCGGGAAAUCUCAUGGAGACGACCCGAAGCCCGCUCCGGCGGGUCCAGAGACUACACGGGGUGGAUGGCAGCCUGGACGGCGUCAUUUGAGGGAUAGCCCAUCCUCUCGACGAUAGAUCGAGAGUAUCGAAGUAACGAGGAACAAUUGGAGGGCAAGUCUGGUGGACUUCUACAGUGGAGACACGCUGGCACCAGAGAAUUCAGGCUCGUCCUCGCCCGCAUUGGCGAGGAGUGCUGCCUGUCAGUCUGACAUUCCGGAUGGAAAUGGCAGGCAAGGCAACCUGGCUCGGGGAACAUCAAGGGACGCCCGGAAGGGCGCUCUGGACAAUCCCGCGGUGAACGUGCAAGUCACGUCGCUGUAAAGCGNGAUAAGGUGCCGGUCGACCCGCGGUCGGCUUGAGGGACGUGCUGUUUCCGCCCGUAAGGGCGGCCCGGGACGCAAGCAACCCUUGCAGUUGCGGGGUGGGUGUACCGGCAGUUUACGCUGCCGGAGCCCAAAUCACAAGGCCAGCAGCCGCGGUAAUUCCAGCUCCAAUAGCGUAUAUUAAAU
rnacentral:rRNA from 1 species